CACACACACACACACACACACACACACACACACACACACACACACACACACACACACACACACACACACACACACACACACACAUACACAAACACUCAUAUGCAGCGAGUCGGUGGGAAAUGCUAACAGCUACUAUAGUUGGUCUGAAAUGUUUAAGCACAGGGUUAACUCAGACUGUGUUAGUAUGUAUCCAUUGAGGCUGGUGUGGUGGUGUGGGGGUUGGUGUUAGUCUUGGGGUUGUUGUCGGCAUUAGUGUUGGUAUUAGUGGUGUUGUUGUGGUUCCUGUGAUUUGUGAUUGUGUUGGUGCUCGUGCGGAUGCAGGUUAUUGUGUUGGUGUUGACUGGUCAUGCGGCACAGAAAGUUGUCGUGUGUUCAGUGUUCAGCAGAGGGAGCAGAGAGCGUGUGGUGUGGUACUUGCUUCACUAAUGAAUUUCCUUAGCCAGGUGAGACCAUGGGGAGACUAUGGGGCGAGCUUAUUAGUCAACAGACUACAGAGACGGGAGGCCCUGGAACCAGGCUGAUCUCUCUCUCUCUCUCUCUCUCUCUCUCUCUCUCUCUCUCUCUCUCUCUCUCUCUCUCUCUCGCUGUCUCUCUCUCUCUCUCUCUCUCUGUCUGUCUCUUAGGCCGAUGGCACAGGACUUUUAGCCAAGCAGAGAACCCCAUGGUCAGACAGAUGGCCCUAGCAACAGAGCUACCUGACAAGCCGCUGUGAGCAUGAUGGAGGGAGGAGGAGGAGGGAGGAGGCGGUAGGCCAGUGUAUUCCCCUCUCUCUCUCUCUCUCUGUUCAUUAGGGAGCAGGUGAGAAACAUUAACAGCAGCAGCUGCACUGCUCCGCACACAUGGUUGAGGGCUUGAGCUAGUCCACCCCACUUUCUGUCUGUCCACCAGUGGAAACUCACUCCUUUCUGGGAAAUGCCUAGUGUACACCAGUUACCAGGAAUGCAUUUAGUAAAGGUUUCCGGGACACACAUUAAGCCCUGUCCUGUACUAAAUAGCUCUUUAAAUGGAGAUGCUCUAUUAAAUAUGCUUUUUACUUCUGGAAAACUGUCCCAUUGACACUUCAGACAAUCCCAGUAUCUCUGUGUCAGACUGGUUAGAGGUGAAUGAAUCUGUGAUUAUGUGUUUAUGUUUAAUUCUUUCUAAACAAAAGAAAGAAAGUUCCACACUCUGCUCCCAAAUAUGUAACGAGUAAACCAUAACCAACGUUGCAGCACGCGGAGUUACAACAUUAAUGCUUGAACCAGGUUGCUUUUCACUAUGUGUCACACCUAACCAUUUUUCUGUGUUUACUGAGGUGUUGUUGAAGCUGUCUUCCUGACUUAGCUGACUGGGACCAUGGUACUGGAGGACCAGAGUAGACUGACGGGUCUAUCACUGUGCUUUGGGGUGAGGUAGUAGGUUGUAUAGUUUUAGGGUCAUUCCCUUCCUGUCAGAUAACUAUACAACUUACUGUCUUUCCUGAGGUGGCUGUAAUAUCAUCCUUCAUCUCUGCAGCGCGCCCGCCACCCGGACCUCGAUAGGAAUACGUAUUAUGUACUAAUUCAAGUGUAUAACAUGUUUGUAAUGUCAUUUAUAUUGUAUCUAUGCAUCAUUUGGUUCUGUUCUGGCUCUUUGCAUACUAUAUGUAUUAUUUUGCCGUGAAACUGCUCUGCCUCUAUGAUGUUCGCACGGGGUGAGGUAGUAGGUUGUGUGGUUUCAGGGUAGUGAUUUUGCCCCAUCAGGAGAUAACUAUACAAUUUACUGCCUUCCCUGAAGGGCAGCAAGACUUCACCAGACAACAGCAGAGGCCGCCGUUGGCACCACAUGAUAAUCUAGCAUCAAAAAUAGGUAUGCAUUUAGGUAUCUAGGUAUAAAAUAGUUAUCUAUCUGUUAAUCAGCUCCAGAGGACACAGGAGCAUUUCAGGUACUAGUCAGGUACAAGUCUACUGACAACCUAUGAUUACCAUGUAGCUAACAUGUUAUUGGAUAACUUUGAAAUUGUAAGUUUUCAAAUGAGUAAUAAAAAUAAUUAUUUUAUAAAUGUC